rnacentral:rRNA from 1 species
GACGAACGCUGGCGGCGUGCUUAACACAUGCAAGUCGAACGGAAAGGCCCUGCUUUUGUGGGGUGCUCGAGUGGCGAACGGGUGAGUAACACGUGAGUAACCUGCCCUUGACUUUGGGAUAACUUCAGGAAACUGGGGCUAAUACCGGAUAGGAGCUCCUGCUGCAUGGUGGGGGUUGGAAAGUUUCGGCGGUUGGGGAUGGACUCGCGGCUUAUCAGCUUGUUGGUGGGGUAGUGGCUUACCAAGGCUUUGACGGGUAGCCGGCCUGAGAGGGUGACCGGCCACAUUGGGACUGAGAUACGGCCCAGACUCCUACGGGAGGCAGCAGUGGGGAAUAUUGCACAAUGGGCGGAAGCCUGAUGCAGCAACGCCGCGUGCGGGAUGACGGCCUUCGGGUUGUAAACCGCUUUCGCCUGUGACGAAGCGUGAGUGACGGUAAUGGGUAAAGAAGCACCGGCUAACUACGUGCCAGCAGCCGCGGUGAUACGUAGGGUGCGAGCGUUGUCCGGAUUUAUUGGGCGUAAAGGGCUCGUAGGUGGUUGAUCGCGUCGGAAGUGUAAUCUUGGGGCUUAACCCUGAGCGUGCUUUCGAUACGGGUUGACUUGAGGAAGGUAGGGGAGAAUGGAAUUCCUGGUGGAGCGGUGGAAUGCGCAGAUAUCAGGAGGAACACCAGUGGCGAAGGCGGUUCUCUGGGCCUUUCCUGGCGCUGAGGAGCGAAAGCGUGGGGAGCGAACAGGCUUAGAUACCCUGGUAGUCCACGCUGUAAACGGUGGGUACUAGGUGUGGGGUCCAUUCCACGGGUUCCGUGCCGUAGCUAACGCUUUAAGUACCCCGCCUGGGGAGUACGGCCGCAAGGCUAAAACUCAAAGGAAUUGACGGGGCCCCGCACAAGCGGCGGAGCAUGCGGAUUAAUUCGAUGCAACGCGUAGAACCUUACCUGGGUUUGACAUGGAUCGGGAGUGCUCAGAGAUGGGUGUGCCUCUUUUGGGGUCGGUUCACAGGUGGUGCAUGCCUGUCGUCAGCUCGUGUCGUGAGAUGUUGGGUUAAGUCCCGCAACGAGCGCAACCCUUGUUCACUGUUGCCAGCACGUUAUGGUGGGGACUCAGUGGAGACCGCCGGGGUCAACUCGGAGGAAGGUGGGGAUGACGUCAAGUCCUCAUGCCCCUUAUGUCCAGGGCUUCACGCAUGCUACAAUGGCUGGUACAGAGAGUGGCGAGCCUGUGAGGGUGAGCGAAUCUCGGAAAGCCGGUCUCAGUUCGGAUUGGGGUCUGCAACUCGACCUCAUGAAGUCGGAGUCGCUAGUAAUCGCAGAUCAGCAACGCUGCGGUGAAUAAGUUCCCGGG